rnacentral:rRNA from 1 species
UGCCAGCCGCCGCGGUAAUACUGAAGGUGCAAGCGUUAUCCGGAAUCAUUGGGCGUAAAGGGUCUGUAGGUUGUUGGUUAAGUCUAUGGUCAAAUUCCGAAGCUCAACUUCGGGCCGGCACUAGAAACUAAUCAACUUGAGUACGUUAGAGGCAGGGGGAAUUCCCAGUGUAGCGGUGAAAUGCGUAGAUAUUGGGAGGAACAUCAAUGGCGAAGGCACCCUGCUAGGCCGAUACUGACACUGAAAGACGAAAGCUAGGGGAGCAAAUGGGAUUAGAUA